UACGGAGGGUGCAAGCGUUAUCCGGAUUCACUGGGUUUAAAGGGUGCGUAGGCGGGCAGGUAAGUCAGUGGUGAAAUCUCCGAGCUUAACUUGGAAAACUGCCAUUGAUACUAUCUGUCUUGAAUAUUUGUGGAGGUGAGCGGAAUAUGUCAUGUAGCGGUGAAAUGCUUAGAUAUGACAUAGAACACCAAUUGCGAAGGCAGCUCACUAAGCAAAAUAUUGACGCUGAGGCACGAAAAGCGUGGGGGAUCAAAACAGG
rnacentral:rRNA from 1 species